GCUCCAAGCCCAACUUGUCUGCCACAUUCUGAAAAAACCAAAUAGCAAGAGAAACAGUGACCGCUAGUCCAAGUAGAAUUGUAAAUAUGAAUCUCCACUUAUCUCAUGUCUGAUGUGCAAAACUCAUAUCAUUUAGAAGUUCUCAUGAUUUUCAGAAACUGGGAAAAUAGAUUACUAACCGACUCGGGACCAAGGAACCCCAUGGC
rnacentral:misc_RNA from 1 species